UCCAAACUAUAUAGGGUCACCCAAAACAUACAUAUAUUUUGAUGUAUAUGUACAUCUCUAUGUGUACAGACGUCUAUAUGUAAAUAUACAUUACAGGUGUUACAUACAUUGUGUAUGUAUAUGUGUACAUACGUUCUGUAUGUUACGUAUAGAAUAUAUGUGUGUAUGUAUAUACAUAUAUAUGUUAAUAUGUGUGAGGCUGUAUAUAUGUAUGUGUGUAUAUAUGUAAAUAUUGCUAUAUAUAAUAUAUAUGUGUGUGUGUAUAUGUUAAUAUGUGUCAUAUAUAGGUUGUAUAUAUGUGCGCAUAUAUGUAGAUAUGUAGAUAUUAUUAUCUAUGGAAUCUAGGUGUGUAGGUAUAUGUUAGCAUGUGUUCUAUAUGUAGGAUAUACGUAUGCAUGUGUGUGUAUAUGUAUGUGAAUAUAUGUUCUCCCCUGA
rnacentral:lncRNA from 1 species